UACUUAGCCUCCAACUGGGUCUGGCUGUCGGCUGGCCAGGCAACAAUCAGUUAUAGACAUAUAUAAACUAAGAAAACUGUAAAGUUGCAGGAAAACCACAAUAUUUUUCUACUGGUUGAUAAAUCAGAGAGCACUGAUUUAUCAACAGCCACAUGGACAGUAAAGCGUUUGCUCUGAUUCAGAAGCAGCAGAGUUCAGAGGAAAACGCUCACUGGAGAAAAUGAGGAACAUUAUUACCAAACAUGUGCAUGAAAAUAUCAUUAUGUUUGAGGAGGCUAAAGGUGUCAUGUUGAACCAGCUGACUGUCUUGAAGACGGACAUCUUGGAGAUACUGCAGGAAACCAUGAGGGAAUCCAUUGAGCUCUCACUGAAGACAGAUGACAACUCAAUCCCAGAUGUUCCAACUGAACUUGAGAUGGUGAGGAGAUACUACGAUGAACUGAAAGACAAUCCAGAUGGAGAAACAUCACAACUGGAGUAAAACCUAGAAUCUUCCAUCAGUGGACAGAAACAGCAGAGUCCUGGUCUCCCACUGAACAUCUCUGAGGAAUCACUGACUCAACACAGGACACUCUGGAUCUGGUCUCAACCAGUUUUAUUAAGUUGGUUUCUAUGGACUCUUUGGUUUGAUUUGUUCUAUGACUUUGUUUUUAUGAAUUUUGUGCUGAGAGAUUAGAGAUUUUUUGGAAGUUUUUUUUUCAUUUAAUGGAUUCCAGUCCAGAGGCAACUUAAAAAGUAGAGAGAGAUGAAAUGCAAAGAGCCCUGGUUGGAUUUGGACCAGCGAUGUUCUGGUUUUCAUCAUAAAGGUACAAACCACAAAACAUUUAGAUUUUAAGGAUUGAACUGUUCUUUUCUUGUUUUCCAGUAUUGUGUUUCCAUGUUUUCUGAGUUUAGUGUGGGUUCAUUGGGAUGGGAACACUGCAGGUUCAGGGAUUAGAUCAAUGUGUGUCAUUUUAACCUUGAACCUUGAAUACAGCUCAGACUGCAGGUUUGAUUUAACAGAGAUUUUAGGCUUUUAAAAGAAUGACCUGAAUGUUUUUCCUUUAAGAAAUAUUUACUUAAUGGGAGGUAAUGUUGGUGCUCACAUUGGAAAUGCAGAGAAACAGAUGAAAGUAAUAAAGCAGCUGCUUCUUACUGGAAAUGAACAUCAUUUAUUAUAUUGUUUUAUUUUGCCUAUAAUCUACACUGAUUCUAAAUGAAUACAUGUUUUUGAUAUGAUGUCCAACACAAUUAACCUUCAACCUUGAAUAUAACUCAUACUGCAGGUUUGAUUUAACAUAGAUUUGAGCUUUUUAAAGACAGACCUUGAAUUCCUACUUUUCUUUUACAUUCAAGGAAAUUUUUUUUUACUAAAUGCAAGAUAACAGUCUCUUGAU
ensembl:lncRNA